rnacentral:rRNA from 1 species
GACGAACGCUGGCGGCGUGCUUAACACAUGCAAGUCGAACGGAAAGGCCCUGCUUUUGUGGGGUGCUCGAGUGGCGAACGGGUGAGUAACACGUGAGUAACCUGCCCUUGACUUUGGGAUAACUUCAGGAAACUGGGGCUAAUACCGGAUAGGAGCUCCUGCUGCAUGGUGGGGGUUGGAAAGUUUCGGCGGUUGGGGAUGGACUCGCGGCUUAUCAGCUUGUUGGUGGGGUAGUGGCUUACCAAGGCUUUGACGGGUAGCCGGCCUGAGAGGGUGACCGGCCACAUUGGGACUGAGAUACGGCCCAGACUCCUACGGGAGGCAGCAGUGGGGAAUAUUGCACAAUGGGCGGAAGCCUGAUGCAGCAACGCCGCGUGCGGGAUGACGGCCUGCGGGUUGUAAACCGCUGUCGCCUGUGACGAAGCGUGAGUGACGGUAAUGGGUAAAGAAGCACCGGCUAACUACGUG